CCUACGGGAGGCAGCAGUGGGGAAUAUUGCACAAUGGGGGGAACCCUGAUGCAGCGACGCCGCGUGAGUGAAGAAGUAUUUCGGUAUGUAAAGCUCUGUCAGCAGGGAAGAAAAUGACGGUACCUGACCAAGAAGCCCCGGCUAACUACGUGCCAGAAGCCGCGGGAAUACGUAGGGGGCAAGCGUUAUCCGGAUUUAUUGGGUGUAAAGGGAGAGUAGACGGCAGGGCAAGUCUGGAGGUAAAGGGGGGGGCUCAACCCCCGGACUGCUCUGGAAACUGCCAGGCUGGAGUGCAGGAGAGGUAAGUGGAAUUCCUAGUGUAGCGGUAAAAUGCGUAGAUAUUAGGAGGAACACCAGUGGCGAAGGCGGCUUACUGGACUGGAACUGACGUUGAGGCUCGAAAGCGUGGGGAGCAAACAGGAUUAGAUACCCUUGUAGUC
rnacentral:rRNA from 1 species